CAGAAUGGUAUAUAAAUCGGCAUUUUGGCACUUUGUCAUCACUUCUGUCCAUACCAAGCAGCUUGAACUAUCUCUCGAACGGAUUUAAGACUAUCUGGAAGCCACCGACAUACUUCAUAGGACAGAUAUGAAAUUCACAUUCAACGUCUUGUUAAUCCUGCCCAUGGUCAUCACAGCAGUGGUUGAUGCCAACAGAAUUAAGUGUGUCAUCUGCCAGAGUAAAUGCGCCUUCCGUGCGUGUGUCGACAUAAACAAAUGCGUCGGAGGACAGGGAAACGACUGUGCGAACUAUAUCAACAAACCCUCUGUUCCCGUUUGCGUCAGGCCGGUUUUGAAAAACAGACUCAAAUGUUUUGGCCAAUGCCCGUGUUAAGUUUUGAAAGAUCAAAUAAACAUCUCUGUCUUUA